rnacentral:misc_RNA from 1 species
AAGUCGUAACAAGGUUUCCGUAGGUGAACCUGCGGAAGGAUCAUUAUUGAAUACUGAAUCGGUUCUGAUGCUGGCUCUUCACUGGGCAUGUGCUCGUCCGUUCAUAUUUACCUUCUCUUGUGCACAUUUUGUAGUCCUUUGGAACAAGUGAAUUUCGCGCUGCUGUGAUUAACUUCGCGGUGGUUGCGGUUUGGGGGAUUGGGUGUAACAGCCCUUCCUCUGUUUAUGCGCGUUGCUGCGAUUUACUUCGUGGUGACUGCGGUUCGGGGGUUGAGCGUCAGCACUUCCCCUGCCUUUGCUUUUUUCCAAGGCUAUGUUUUCAUAUACCCUAUACAAUGUUACAGAAUGUCUUUAACGAUUGUGCUUGGUCGCAGUCAUUAAACCUAUACAACUUUCAGCAACGGAUCUCUUGGCUCUC